rnacentral:lncRNA from 1 species
AAUAUCAAUAUCGAUAUCAAAAAUGGCAUGUAAAAGAUCUAAAGAUGAACCUUCGGAAUGCAACAGCUUUCUUCAAAGCUCUAAACGGAUGGGCCAAGUUGCAACGCAUAUUCUUACUGCAGAAUCAGAAGUAGAAAUUGAUUUUAAUACAUCAAAAAAAAACACAAGAAAACUCCUUUAAGUCAACAAAACAGAAAGAGAAAAAAAAAUGUAUUUUUGAAGAACCUCCUUUACCAUCAUUACCAUUAUGGGAGCCACCAAAGCUUCCUGAUUCCGAUUCAAACUUUUUGUCCGUCUCUGCCUCAAUGGAUCAAGUAGAUGACUUGCCAGUUACACAGAUAGUGUUUCCAUCAGAAAUGCAGUCUGUUUCACAAGUUCAACCGUUACUGCAUUCAUCUUCUUCCU